rnacentral:rRNA from 1 species
UACGGAGGGAGCUAGCGUUAUUCGGAAUUACUGGGCGUAAAGCGCACGUAGGCGGCUUUGUAAGUUAGAGGUGAAAGCCUGGAGCUCAACUCCAGAACUGCCUUUAAGACUGCAUCGCUUGAAUCCAGGAGAGGUGAGUGGAAUUCCGAGUGUAGAGGUGAAAUUCGUAGAUAUUGGGAAGAACACCGGUGGCGAAGGCGGCUCACUGGCUCAUUACUGACGCUCAGGCGCGAUAGCGUGGGGAUCAAACAGG